AGCCAGACUCCUACGGGAGGCAGCAGUGGGGAAUAUUGCACAAUGGGGGAAACCCUGAUGCAGCGACGCCGCGUGAGUGAAGAAGUAUUUCGGUAUGUAAAGCUCCAUCAGCAGGGAAGAAAAUGACGGUACCUGACUAAGAAGCCCCGGCUAACUACGUGCCAGCAGCCGCGGUAAUACGUAGGGGGCAAGCGUUAUCCGGAUUUACUGGGUGUAAAGGGAGCGUAGACGGCAUGGCAAGUCAGAUGUGAAAGCCCGGGGCUCAACCCCGGGACUGCAUUUGAAACUGUCAGGCUGGAGUGCAGGAGAGGUAAGUGGAAUUCCUAGUGUAGCGGUGAAAUGCGUAGAUAUUAGGAGGAACACCAGUGGCGAAGGCGGCUUACUGGACUGUAACUGACGUUGAGGCUCGAAAGCGUGGGGAGCAAACAGGAUUAGAUACCCCCGUA
rnacentral:rRNA from 1 species